AUACGUAGGGGGCGAGCGUUGUCCGGAAUGAUUGGGCGUAAAGGGCGCGUAGGCGGCCCGGUAAGUCUGGAGUGAAAGUCCUGUUUUUAAGAUGGGAAUUGCUUUGGAUACUGUCGGGCUUGAGUGCAGGAGAGGUAAGUGGAAUUCCCAGUGUAGCGGCGAAAUGCGUAGAGAUUGGGAGGAACACCAGUGGCGAAGGCGACUUACUGGACUGUAACUGACGCUGAGGCGCGAAAGUGUGGGGAGCAAACAGGAUUAGAUACCCUGGUAGUCCACACUGUAAACGAUGAAUGCUAGGUGUAGGGGGUAUCGACCCCUUCUGUGCCGCAGUCAACACAAUAAGCAUUCCGCCUGGGGAGUACGGCCGCAAGGUUGAAACUCAAAUGAAUUGACGGGG
rnacentral:rRNA from 1 species